CAAGAAUACUGCUCCAUGCUGUACCCUGUCCUGCACUGCAGGGAGAUUUUCAGUGGUAUCCCUCAUUAAGGGUUGACUGCUUUGACGUGAGGUGCAGCCGCAUUGCUCUGUCAGUGACAUCAGUGGGCUGGAGAGAAUGUUCCCUAGGGAGGUGAAAGGAUAUGAGCAACAUCCGAGGAGACAUAAUAGUGCUAAACAUCAAGGGAGUCUGCUGUUAAAUACCAUCAGCACCGUUAACAAAAUUACCAAUGAAGAAGAAGAAAUGAAUCCAUGAUGAAUGAUAAU